UUAAGGGAAUUUGUUGGAAAUUUUUUUCAUAACAAUUCAUUAAAACGUGUGUUCAAUAAAAAUAAAUCAAUUGUAAAGUGCUCAUAAUCAAUAACCAAAAUAGUCGUUUGAAGCUUUUAGAUGAAUAAGAAUCAAGAGAAAACGUAGGCCAUUAGGAAGUGUGAAUAAUAAGACAAUAAUUCAAAGGCAACAAGUUUCAACCAUACAAACAUGGAUGUAUGGUAAAUGAAAGAAAAAGUUCCAGAAAUCAGCAACCAGAGGUCAACGAGCAACAUCGGAACCGUAUUAACAGGGAUGUACGGUAAUUGAAAGAAAAAUUCCAGCAUCAACAACGAGUUCAUGAUUGGCGAGUCGAUUAGGUUGGUCAAAAGGGUUAACUGAGCAUCAAACAUCAAACAUCAGGGUCAACGGAGCAUAUCUUCUACAGUCAAAGCAAAUUGUUGCAGAAAGUGUCAAUACGCGGUUUUCAACCUCUUGGGACGAAAAAUGAUCGCAAAUACUUUAAAACAAAUCAGAUGAUUUUUCCCAAACACAUCAACCAUUUCAUGUAAUACCAAUUUUCGGGCGAGAAAACAUCAAGAUUCUUGUAGCUGGCAUGUAAUAAAGGAUGGUUCAACAGUAGCAUAACUCCAAAAGUUGCAAUUGCCACUAGCAACGAACAAUUUCCGCCAAAGAAAUAGUCAAAAUGUUCUUAGCUGAACAAGUAUCAACAACACAACCAAUUAGAGGAAGGAUGACAUUAAAUUCAUAAACGACAGAUACAACAAACAUUUCAGCAGAAAAAGCCACAUUUUUCAAGCUGUCGUCACAUACGCAAAUUUCAACAGCAUCCUAAGGCAGCAAGAACCAAUUAUCGAUAUACCGAAAAAAAAACACAACCAACAAAAUACGUUUUUCAUCACAAUGAUUUUAAGACUAUUAAUUGGAAUCAAAAGGACAGUAUGCGUGAACAUCCUGUUUUCAAUGGAACAGCUGUUAGAGCAAGUGGGCACAAGAUUUUUCUCACGGAAUAACCAGAAAAAAGCAAAAGUUGCAAGAAUCACGUAGAUUUGAAGUCAAAAACAAGGAAAAGAAUAUCGUAACAAAAUGAGAUCAACCAUUAGGAGAAAUCAAAGAAGCAGUGUGGGGAUCGCACAACAGUUAAUCACCGAGAAACACAACGAAGCAACGAGAAGUAGAUGCUUGGUUUUUGCCCUAAUGACUCACUGAAAGACUCAGCCAUGAUCAACAACAUCUAGACAUCGGGAUUCAUCAAAAUCAAAGUAUUUUUAUAUCACAAUAUCACGGCGAAGACGGUAGCGGAAUACGGAGUCAACAGUUGCCAUUUGAAGCACAGGUAUGAGUUUAAUAUAAAACAAAAAAAUAUAUAUAUAUAUAUAUAUCAAGAAAAGACAAGAACACCAAUCUAAUUUUAAAAUUUGAUAGAAAAAGCUUAGCUAGAAAAAUUAUCAGCCAGGGACAUAAAUAAAUCAGAUUCAAUAGAAACAAAACAAGAGCACUAUAAAAAUAUUAGUUAUAAGCAGAAGGAAAACAGUAUGUAAAUCAACUCUUAUUCGAAAAAAAAAAGAUCAUUGGGACAGAAACAUGACCAACAUUUUAAAAAAAAUUAAGAAAUUUUAAGAAAUUUCUUAAUUUUUUGCGGGAAAAGUAAGGGAAUGCAACAAACCGCUGAAUUGAGAUUCAGCAAUUUAUUGCCAAAAUGAUAAUUUUUGCCAUUUUUCGGGAAUGGGGCAUACGUCACCCUUUUCCCCAAUCAAUUGCAACAAUUUUGCAUUUUUCGCUCAUGACGAAAUAAGGGAUAUGAAGAAUGCCAAAGGAAAAAGAUUUCUUGAGCCCACACGAUGUGUGGAGCACAAUGACACCAAUUGUUAGAAACACGGACGGAAAGCGCCCAGAAGGAGAAGAGUCAGGAAUUCAAGAAUGACUCGAGAAAGGGAAACCAACAUUUUGGGAUCUCGGCUUUUAAUUUAUGGCAUAAACAUUGGGCAUGGUUUUCAACAUAUGUUGAAGCCUUCUCUGCCUGUAUUCGGGGUGACGAAAUUCAAGUACCUACAGGGUUGUCUUGAUGAAAUAAACAAUUGCCUAGAAAUCCGAUCGCUAACGACGGGAUGCUAGAACUACAGGUUUUUCUUUCGGGUCGUAAAUUAUACAAGACUUCACACGCAGAGGAUUUUUGCUGAUUAUGCAACAACCUCAAGCCGAUAUGGAAAUGAAGGGAUGAUCGUAAAAUGGGUUGAGAAGAAUGAUCUGAUUGUUUUUGCAACAAGAAAAAACUUGGAAAUGCAUAACCUUCCCCGAAAGAGAAAGGUAAUCACAGACGACGAUCAUAAUUGGAUCGUAAAAUUAUGUUUAUGGACGACCGUCCACGCAUCCAUGCUUAGAAGGCGUGAAAACUCUAACGCAUGAGUGAUCGUAAAACUAAGACGGGUGACGAAGAAAAGUAAACACUAUAAAUUUACGAUCGCCCGGUGCGUUCAUGAAAAAUCAAGUUCGGGGAUGAUGAUGGUUGGUGUGGCCCUUGAUGACUCAGCCACUAAGGGAAGAAAUUUUGAGAUUGAAUUCGCGAGUAAUUUCGCUCUCCUCAGAAUUUUGGUAUGAUCUCACAGAUGUGAGAAUGUGGAUGGGGGAUGCUAUGAUGCAUCGGAGAUUUAGCCUUUCUGUAUUCUGUUUUGGGGAGAGUUGUUGGGAGGUCCGAAUCUCAGAGGUGAGAAUAAAUUGGCCAUUCGAUCUGGAGGCUCAAUUAAUCUCGCAGAUGUGAGAUGGCGAAAUGGGGGGCAUAGGGAAAAUUGAUCAUCCGUGCAGGGGAGAGAUUAGAAUUGCUCUCACGGAUGGGGGAGAUGCAAAUAUUAGAAAGGAGCGUAAUUAAAAAUCAAUUACGCAUGGGGGCAUUGGGAAAUUAAUUUCUCUUUGGUAUGGGGAGAGUCCUGGAGAAUCUUUGAUCAGGAGAAUAAGAGUUGAUGGUUAGGGAGAGGACCCCUAUAUAAAGGGUUGCAGAUCCAAGGAUCGCGGCGGCUGCCACUGCUGGUCUCGUCAUAUUAUUUUUUUUCCUAGAAGUUUCUGUAGUCAGUUUAGUUUAGGCUGUUAGCAGGUGUUUCAGUUUUCAGUGCAUUUAGUCAAUGAGUCAGUUAGUCGGGUUUUUCUUGUAAGACAGUAUUUUUGUUAAAAAGAAGAAUAAAGUGGUGUAGUGUUAACAAGUGUUGGUGAAUCUAUUGAAAUGAUGACAUAUCUUUAAGACUGCGAGUUCGAAUUACUAAGUAUCGGU